rnacentral:rRNA from 1 species
AACUUUCAACAAUCGGAUCUCUUGGUUCCAGCAUCGAUGAAGAACGCAGCGAAAUGCGAUAAGUAAUGUGAAUUGCAGAAUUCAGUGAAUCAUUGAAUCUUUGAACGCACAUUGCGCCCCUCGGUAUUCCGGGGGGCAUGCCUGUUCUAGCGUCAUU